UACGUAGGGCGCAAGCGUUGUCCGGAAUUAUUGGGCGUAAAGAGCUCGUAGGCGGCUUGUCACGUCGGUUGUGAAAUCCCCCGGCUUAACCUGGGAACUGCGUCUGAUACUGGAAGGCUUGAGUAUGGGAGAGGGAUGUAGAAUUCCAGGUGUAGCGGUGAAAUGCGUAGAUAUCUGGAGGAAUACCGGUGGCGAAGGCGGCAUCCUGGACCAUUACUGACGCUGAGGCGCGAAAGCUAGGGGAGCAAACGGGG
rnacentral:rRNA from 1 species